rnacentral:tRNA from 1 species
GGUUUGAGCCUUAGUAUGGAACCUACUAAGUGAGAACUUUCAA